UACAUUAACUUUGUAUAAUCUGUGCAUCUGAAAAGACAGAAAUCAGUUUCUUGGUGUCACUGUUCCACAUGCAAAUUUUAGAUUUUUAUUGUUUAUUGCAGAUGGAAUCAGUCUCUGCAUGCUUGUCCCUGACCUCGCACUUCACACUCUCAGUUUUAAUUUUGGUUGCUGUUACUACUGAUAUCUGAGCCAAAGUGGUGCUAACUGAGGGAAUCUCUGCAACUUGUAAGUCAACAAUUACACGGAUCUACUCAUUUUUCCUUGGGUAAUCAGAAGGUGGAGAAAAGGAUGGGCUGCCAACAAUCUCUGCAAAGCUCAGAAGUGUUAAAAGUCCGAACCAUUUACAUCAAUGACCCCCUUAAGAAUACUUUCUGCACAAAUAGCAUCAGCACAACUAAGUACAGCAAGUGGUCAUUUCUCCCUCGAUAUUUGUAUCUGCAGUUUAGCAAAGCUGCUAAUGCAUUUUUUUUGUUCAUUACCAUAUUGCAGGUAAUAUUUUUGUACAUGUUAUUAAACUAAGAUUCUUAAGACAUCUAAGAAAACCCUUGUAAAAGUUCAUUUAGCUGAAAUAAAGGUUUCCAUAGACAAUAAACUGAAAUACUGUAAGAAGAGAAUUUGUAUUACAAUGUUUAAGUCAUUCAGUGAGACACUGAAACUCAAUUUUUGGGCUGAAAAACACAUGGAUGCAACUUUCAUCGUGUAUGCCUCCUUUAUAAUGGAAUAAUUUAUUCAUAUUUUGAAAGGAACAAUUGAAAGGAAACCAAACAAUAAUUUUAAAUAGCAUCUGUUCAAAAGAGUUAAAUUCAAAGUUUUCCACAAUCUGGUUCAUUCCUGUUUACUUAUGAAGCCCACAAUCAAAAUAAUCUCUUCAUAAUUUUCUGGUUUUUUUUCUAUUUCCAGACUUUGACCCUUAGUGUUAGAGGAGGAGAAAUCUGAUAUUAAGUCUGUAGCCUUUGGGCACAGGACAUAGCAAAACAUAAAAAACCUGGAAGCUUUGGUUGCAUUUCAGGAGGAAAAUCACUGUAUUAGUCAACUUUGCAUUAAUACAGUGAAGUAUCUGAAGCAACUGACUUUAGAAAAUAGGCAUUAUUAUUGCUGUGGGUAUAUACAUGACUGCAUGACCAAUGUAAUUCUGCAACCUAUACACUCAGAAAAAUGAGAAAUUAUAUCCCAUCUGAUUCAAACGUAUGAUAUGUCAAGAUCAUUGUACUGUCAUGUGUAACUAAUAAAAACGAAUUUAAAAAAAG
rnacentral:lncRNA from 1 species